rnacentral:misc_RNA from 1 species
AAUUUUUCAUGCUCCACGGUGACUACUUUGGUCCGUACGCGCGCGCUGUAUUCUUGGAUGCGGUGCAUGAGGUUAAGGUGGGUCUUUUUUUCCCACUGUGUCCCUUUACUUUCGGUUGACUUGGAUGAUGCCUGUCUCUUUUUGCAUUGUUUGCUUCCCCACCAGUGGGUGCAAAGCUUGCAACUAGAGCAGUGUCAUUGAUGGAUGCUACCUGGUUGAUCCUGCCAGUAGUCAUAUGCUUGUCUCAAAGAUUAAGCCUGGCAGUGGUAA